rnacentral:rRNA from 1 species
UACGGAGGGUGCUAGCGUUGUUCGGAAUUACUGGGCGUAAAGCGCGUGUAGGCGGCCCGCUAAGUCUGAUGUGAAAGCCCGGGGCUCACCCCCGGAAGUGCAUUGGAGACUGGCGGGCUCGAGUCCCGGAGAGGAGGGUGGAAUUCCUGGUGUAGCGGUGAAAUGCGUAGAUAUCGUAAGGAAGACCAGUGGCGAAGGCGGGUCUCUGGACAGUUCCUGACGCUGAGGCACGAAGGCCAGGGGAGGCAAACGGG